GCGGCAGAGGUUUCAGCAACACCAGUGGCCUACAAAGAAGGAGCCUUCCUCCUCUCCCCAGACUCCAGACUCUAGAGGGCGACCUCCUCCUGCUCCUGCUCCUGGAGCGCAGCCAGCGCACAGCGUUUCCGCAGGAAUCUUGAGAAUGGCAAGGCCCGCACACCCGCGGUGGUUCCCAGGCCCGCCCCCUCUCGCAGCUGCAGCCCCACCUGCCAGUGCGUGCCGCCUCCGAGCGACUUCCGGGAGCCGGGCGGCCACCGCGGUGCAGGCGCGCGCCCAAAGGCUUUGCGAGGCUCACUCGGUCUGAGAGGUCGGAGGCUGCGAGUGUCGCUGCUGAAGGCUGUGGUGGACCGGGCUGGAUCGCGGAUUUUGGAUUAGAUAAUAGAUUUGGGAUCGCCGAUUGGGGGUUGGAUUGCGGAUUUGGGGUUGGAUAGGGGAUUUGGGGCUGGGUCGGCGGGGGCAGGGGCGGGGAGGUGAAAAGGUGACAGGGAGCUGCCUCCUCUCAAGAGCAGUUGGUUGGGAGUCUGAGAAGUCACCACCAUGAAGUUGUUCGGCUUCAGGAGCCACAGGGGCCAGACGGUCCUGGGCACCAUAGACCACCUGUACACGGGUUCCGGGUACCGAAUCCGGUACUCGGAACUGCAGAAGAUCCACAAGGCAGCUGUCAAGGGCGACGCCGCGGAGAUGGAGCGCUGUCUGGCGCGCAGGAGCGGAGACCUGGACGCCCUGGACAAGCAGCACAGCAGUGUGUCCCCAAGAAAGUGUCAGAGCCUUUACGUGGACCUUCCCAUGGAAAAGGAAACAGAAUAGUCAAUGGAAAAGGAGAAGGACCUCCUGCAAAACAUCCUUCCUUGAAGCCUAGCACUGAAAUGGAAGAUCCUGCUGUGAAAGGAGCAGUACAAAGAAAGAAUGUACAGACAUUGAGAGCAGAAAAAGCCUUACCAGUGGCUUCAGAGGAAGAGCAACAAAGGCGUGAAAGAAGUGAAAAGAAGCAACCACAGCUAAUUUUAGAACAUGCACUCUGACAGAAAAGACAUCUGAGAAACAAAACAAGCAAAUUUGUUUUCCUUUUUGCACCUGCCAAAAAAAAAAAAA